CACGCCGUAAACGCUGAUUACUAGGUGUAGGGGGUAUAGACUCCCUCUGUGCCGCAGUUAACGCAUUAAGUAAUCCACCUGGGGAGUACGGCCGCAAGGUUAAAACUCAAAGGAAUUGACGGGGACCCGCACAAGCGGCGGAGCAUGCGGAUUAAUUCGAUGCAACGCGAAGAACCUUACCAAGGCUUGACAUGCACCGGUACAGUGUAGAGAUAUGCUGGCCUUUUUGGCUGGUGUGCAGGUGG
rnacentral:rRNA from 1 species